UACGUAGGGGGCAAGCGUUAUCCGGAUUUACUGGGUGUAAAGGGAGCGUAGGUGGCAUGGCAAGCCAGAAGUGAAAACCCGGGGCUUAACCCCGCGGACUGCUUUUGGAACUGUCAGGCUGGAGUGCAGGAGGGGCAGGCGGAAUUCCUAGUGUAGCGGUGAAAUGCGUAGAUAUUAGGAGGAACACCAGUGGCGAAGGCGGCCUGCUGGGCUUUUACUGACGCUGAGGCUCGAAAGUGUGGGGAGCAAACAGG
rnacentral:rRNA from 1 species